rnacentral:lncRNA from 1 species
UUAAUCAUUAGUUUGUAGCAAUUACUCUUUAUUCCAAUAUUAUAAUAAUCCUCACUCCAUAAUCAUACCCUAGGAAAAACCAGGCCAUACAGAGAUAGGAGCUGAGGAGACACAGUGAGAAGUGACCAGAAGACAAGAGUGCGAGCCUUCUGUUAUGCCCGGACAGGGCCACCAGAGGGCUCCUUGGUCUAGUGGUAAUGCCAGCGUCUGGGAGGACGCCCGUUGCCAGGCGGACCUUGGUCUAGCGGUAGCAUAAGUGUCAAGGGAAAACACCCGCUACUUAGCAGACCGGGAAAGGGAGUCUCCCUUUCCCCAGGGGAGUUUAGAGAAGACUCUACUCCUCCACCUCUUGUGGAGGGCCUGACAUUAGUCAGGCUCGUCCACAGUUAUCCGGAGGCCUAACAGUCUCACUGUGAUGCUGUGCUUCAGUGGUCACACUCCUAGUCUGCCUUCGUGUUCCAUCCUGUACACCUGGCUCUGCCUUCUAGAUAGCAGUAAUAAAUUAGUGAAAGUACUAAAAGUCUCUGAUAUGCAGAAAUAAUGGCAUAAGCUGUCCUUCUCUUUGUCUCCUCUCUCUCUCUGCCUCGGC